UCCCGUUGAUCCUGCGGGAGGUCGCUGCUAUUUGGAUUCGAUUUAGCCAUGCAAGUCAGGUAGCAAUACCGGCAUAAGGCUCAGUAACACGUCGAUAAUCUGCCCUAUGGUCUGGGAUAUCCUUGGGAAACUGAGGUUAAUACCGGAUGGGAGAUAUGUACUGGAAUUGUUAUAUCUCUGAAAAGCAAUGCCAUAGGAUGAGUCGGCGGCUGAUUAGGCUGUUGGUGAGGUAACGGCUCACCAAACCGAUGAUCAGUAGGGGGGAUGAGAGUCCUAGCCCCGAGAAGGGCACUGAGAUACUGGCCCUAGCCCUAAGGGGUGCAGCAGGCGCGAAACCUUUACACUGCACGAAAGUGUGAUAAGGGGAUCCAGAGUGCUUCUGCUUUGCAGAGGCUUUUAUCGAGUGUAAAAAGCUCGGUGAAUAAGGAGUGGGUAAGACCGGUGCCAGCAGCCGCGGUAACCCCGGCGCUCCAAGUGGGGACCAUGUUUAUUGGGUCUAAAGCGUUCGUAGCCGGCUUGGAAAAUCUCGUGUGAAAUUGUUGCGCUUAACGUAACAACGGGCACAAGACACUACCAGGCUUGGGACCGGGAGGGGAUAGGAGUAUUCCAAGGGGAGCGGUAAAAUGUGAUAAUCCUUGGAGGACUACCUGUGGCGGAGGCGCCUAUCCAGAACGGCUCCGACGGUGAGGAACGAAGGCUAGGGGAUCAAAACGGAUUAGAUACCCGAGUAGUCCUAGCAGUAAACGCUGUGAGCUGGGUGAUGCGUGUUUUUUUGAGAACAUGCAGUGCCUAAACGAAGGUGUUAAGCUCACCACCUGGGAAGUAUGGUCGCAAGACUGAAACUUAAAGGAAUUGGCGGGGGCUCACUACAACGGGAGGUAUAUGCGGUUUAAUUGGAUUCUACUCCGGAAAUCUCACCAGGGGCGACGGCAGGAUGAAGGUCAGAUUGAAGGUUUUACCUGACAAGCCGAGAGGUGGUGCAUGGCCGUCGUCAGUUCGUCCCGUGAGGUGUCCUGUUAAGUCAGGCAACGAACGCGACCUGCGUCUACAUUUGCCACCAGGCUUAUGCGACUGAGCACAAUGUAGAGACUGCCUUCGAAAGAUGGAGGAAGGUGCAGGCAACGAUAGGUCAGUAUGCCCCGAAUCUCCUGGGCUACACGCGUGUAACAAUGGUAUGAACAAUGGGAUGCAACUCCGAGAGGAGGAGCUAAUCCUCUAAAUCAUGCCCUAGUUCGGAUUGAGGGCUGUAACUCGCCCUCAUGAAGCUGGAUUCCGUAGUAAUCGGGUUUCAACAUGGCCCGGUGAAUACGUCCCUGAGCCUUGCACACACUGCCCGUCAAGCCAACCGAGCAGGGUUUGGGUGAGGCCCUAUCUUCUUGAUAGGCUCAAACCUAAAUUCAGUGAGGUGGGC
rnacentral:rRNA from 1 species